GCCUGAGUGGCGCAAUCGGUUAGCGCGUUCGGCUGUUAACCGAAAGGUUGAAAGUUCGAUUCUUUCCUUAGGCG